AGCGAACGCUGGCGGCAUGCCUAACACAUGCAAGUCGAACGAACUCUUCGGAGUUAGUGGCUGACGGGUUGGUAACCCGUGGGAACGUGCCUUUUGGUUCUGAAUAACUCAGGGAAACUUGUGUGAAUACCGAAUGUUCCUUUCGGGGGAAAGAUUUAUCGCCAUUACGGGGGCCCUCGUCUUUUUAGUUAGUUGUUGAGGUAAAGGCUCACCAAGGCUUCGAUCAGUAGCGGGUUUGGGAGGCGGCCCAGCCACACUGGGACUGAGCCCAGGCCCCGACUGCUACGGGAGGCAGCGGUUGGGAAUCUAGGGGAAUGGGCGAAAGGCUGACGCAGCCAUGGCGCGUGAAUGAUGAAGGUCUUAGGAUUGUAUAAUGCUUUCGACGGGGACGAUAAUGACGGUACCCGGAGAAGAAGCCCCGGCUAACUUCGUG
rnacentral:rRNA from 1 species